CUCUCUGCAAAUUGCUCAGUCUCAGGAGAAUCCUGUGGCGCCUCCCAUCAGCCAGCUGCAAGUUGUUGAAAACCACCAAAUGGAUCUUCCCAUCAUCCUUCAGGAACUCCAUCACAAGUUUAAAGUACUGGCUGCAUGGCUGGGAGCUGGAGCUAUAUACAGUAACUAAGAGAGGAAGAAAUUAAGAGCAAACGCAGGAGGGUGAGGAGGUGUGCCAGUCAGCUUUCCUUUGCUGUGACAAAAUUGCUGAAGUCAACAACUCAAAAGAAGAACAUUUAUUUUGGCUCACAGCUGUAGAGGUCCAUGGGCAGAACACCGUUAUGGGCAGCACACGGUGGGGCAAAAAUUAAUCCCUUUGUGGCAGCCAUAAAAGAGAGAAAAACAGAAGAAGUCCCGGAGUCCCCAUGUCCCCUUCCAGGGAACACCCCCAGUGACCCGACUUCCUCAGCCCCAGUGGCCGGACAUUUGGAGCAGAAGAAACAGAGCACAGGAUUUAUGACUUAACUUGGUAUAGCCCUAAAGAGAAGACUAGAUUUGCAAACACAAAAUUGGAUUUGGCUGAGCAAGUGGCUCUGAAGACGAUCACUAGGAGGAAAAGUACUAAAGGCUUAAAGCACAAGCCGGGAUGGAUGAGAGCGGCCGCUCAAUACUUUGGUCACGUCCUCGAGCAGUGAAUUGCACUUACAGGGUCCUUGACGCACCUGUUGGACCAGAGCUAAGUGUGUUUUCCAGGUCCGUGACAAAUGACAGGGGAAGAGGCAGAACGCACGUGUGCGGUAGUGGAGAGAGGACCAAUCACAACACAACCCGGCACUUUUGUGAGAGCCUGUACAGUUCUCUAAGAUCUCUGUUAAAAAAAAAAAAAAUCAUCCCAUCGAGGAAGCAAAAAAGUGAUGUGUGUGGUUUAUUUGACUCGACUGCAUGCAGAGGGAUGGAGCUGGUCUACAAAAAGUAAAAUCUGCAUUUGUACAACCGUAAAUGGCUUCUUCCUCAGUAGGCAGCGCUUUCCGGAAAAGCUUCCUGGGACUCAGUGAAGUGUGAGAGGGUGUGUCCAGAGCCACGACUGUCCAGUGCGAAGCUGAUGGUGGGCGAUACUGGUACUCACACUGAAUGCUUACUGGUUUGCACAAAUAAUGCUUGAACAAUUCCCUGGCUGGCCAGGAACUUCAGCACCUGGAGCUAUCUCUGGGUUACAAUAAUCUGAUUGCUAAAAAGGUCACAUUGAUGACUUACAAAGAGAUCUUGCGAAUCUGCAAGAUGAUAAGCAUCCUAACAGGAAACCAUGCAAUUUACAGAAAAAGAAUCACAAAUGGCUGACAGGUAUAUAGAUAAGUGUCCAUGUGCUCAUUUAGUGAUGAAAGAAUUGCUAAUUUAAAUAAUACUACUCUACUAUCAAAUUGGACAAAUUAAGAAUACAGUAAUACCUAACACUGUAGGUGAGCGGUCAGGGAGUUCUUUCAUGGUCUGCUCAGUAAGGUUUAAAUCAGUAAAAACCCAUGGGCUUGUACAUGGUAGUCAAGCUCUGUGCGCCAUACCUUCAGGCCAAAUUAGUAGAAGCAUUCUGAAGGAAGUUUAAAUAACAAUAUCCAAGACGCUGAAACGCAAAUGUCCCUUGACCUAGCAAUUCUACUUACUGGAAUUUACUGGAAUGGAAUAAUAGAUAAGACAGUAAAGGACUUUGGUACCAUGACAGUUCCCAUCAGUGGUGACUCUCCAGUUUCUGCUGUGGGAGGAAUUAGGUGAAACUAGAAAGAACCGGUUGGCAAUACUGAAGCCCUCCUGGAUGAGCGCUUUGCCAUGGCACAUCAAAUGUUCAUGGACUUCAUUGUUAGAGCAAUGGCUGGUGCCAAUCCACGCCAACCACACCACUUCAGCUGUCCAAUAGGAUACUAAGUAUGAUAUCAAAAUACCAGAGACAGCGUUAGCGUCCUAUAUUACAAAACUGACUAAAUUCAUUUUGGUCCAUAUUUUUUAAAUGUAUCUAAAUUCAUGAAGAUAUAGAGAAAUGUUUAUGAUAAAGUUUAAAAAGUCACAAAAUUAUAUAUGUGUGUGUGUGUGUGUGUGUGUGUGUGUACAACAUGCUAUUUUUAGUAAUUUAUUUGUUUAGACAAAGAUUUGAAACAAAGGAUGAUUCAACAAAAUCUUUACAUUAAAACUA